rnacentral:rRNA from 1 species
GAUGAACGCUGACAGAAUGCUUAACACAUGCAAGUCGACCGGAACUACGGUUUGGGUGGCGGACGGGUGAGUAACGCGUACAGAACGUUCCUCACAGCUAGGGACAACAUUUGGAAACGAAUGCUAAUACCGGAUAUUAUGAGCAUAUGGCACCGUAUAAUUACGAAAGCUAUAUGCGCUGUAGGAGAGCUUUGCGUCCCAUUAGCGAGGUGGAGAGGUAACAGCUCACCAAGGCGAUGAUGGGUAGCCGGCCUGGGAGGGUGAUCGGCCACAAGGGCACGGGGGCGCGACCAUUACGCAUUCGUGGGGAAUGAGUGGAAACUUUUGGCAGAUGGACCGAGUGUCUGAUGCAGGCCUUCUGUGUGCAAGAUGAAGUUUUUCGGAAUGAAAAGUGCUUUCAGUAGAGAAGAAAAAAAUGACGGUACCAACAGAAGAAGCAACGGCUAACUACGUG